rnacentral:misc_RNA from 1 species
AAUUUCUGUGAGAGCUUCAAGUGGAAAAUUCUCUCAUAAACCCCUCCCCCCUCCUCAGCGCUCCUCAACCGCCAGCACUGCCGCCACCUCCUAGUGAAAGCCGGAAGUCUCUUUUCUCAAUCGUAUCGUUCUCUUCUUUAGAAUUUCCCAAAAUGAAUAUCCCAAUAACAGCAAAACCCAAUACAACUAGCAUCAACAGCGACGCCACCAAUCCAUCCGCCGGAGAAUGCGGCAACUGUGGCUCCAAAGACACCUGGCUUCUCCACCACGUCCGCCUUCGAGGUAUCUAUCGCCGACUCUGCACCUCCUGUGUCCUCCGCCUCCACCCUUCCUCUUUCUGCCCUUUUCUACGACUCUUCCCCUCCUCCUCCUUCCAAGCGCCUCUCUUGCUCCAAUUGCUCCUCCUUCACCCACUCCCACUGCGUGCCCCCCCACCCUCCUUCCUCCUUGCCCUUCCUCUGCCCGCCUUGCGCUGACCC